rnacentral:lncRNA from 1 species
GGAAAGGCUCAGGAAAUGGUCCUGACUCAGCUGAUAGUUUCUAUAGACUCCUUGCAAGUAGGACUGUGUUGAAGUUAGAAGUCAAAACCAAUGAAAGUAGUCUUAAUAACAGUACUGAAAAGACCUCCUUUCCUAGAAAAUAAUAGCAUUUUAGGAGGCCUAGGAACAAUUCUAGGCCAAUAAAAGUAACAACAACAACAAUAAUUACCACCACCACUGCUAUUUACUAAGCCCAUGUGCUAGAUACUGUGUUACAUGCCUUAAUAUGAUUAAAUAUCUAGUAGGUAUGGAGUUCUUAUGUGCCCAGCUCUGUGCUAAAUGCUCUUUGUCGAUUCUUAAGACAACCUUCUGAAAUAAACAAUUAUUAUGUUCAUUUUAUUUAUUAGGAAACUGAGGCUAAAGAGUUUAGUAUUCUGCCAAGGCCAGCUAAUAGUUACAGAGCAUGGUUCCAAAUUCAGAGCUGUCGGAAGCUUAAGCCCAUGUGAUGAACCACGAAUGUGAUUUUACCUCAGCUUUUGUUUUCCAGUGUGUUACAUUAGUUAUUUGUGAAUCUGUCUUCUCCCCCACCAAAUGGAGGCCCUAAAUGC